rnacentral:rRNA from 1 species
AGAGUUUGAUCAUGGCUCAGAUUGAACGCUGGCGGCAUGCCUUACACAUGCAAGUCGAACGGCAGCGCGGGGGCAACCCUGGCGGCGAGUGGCGAACGGGUGAGUAAUACAUCGGAACGUGUCCUGGAGUGGGGGAUAGCCCGGCGAAAGCCGGAUUAAUACCGCAUACGAUCCUGGGAUGAAAGCGGGGGACCGAAAGGCCUCGCGCUCAAGGGGCGGCCGAUGGCAGAUUAGCUAGUUGGUGGGGUAAAGGCCUACCAAGGCGACGAUCUGUAGCUGGUCUGAGAGGACGACCAGCCACACUGGGACUGAGACACGGCCCAGACUCCUACGGGAGGCAGCAGUGGGGAAUUUUGGACAAUGGGGGCAACCCUGAUCCAGCAAUGCCGCGUGUGUGAAGAAGGCCUUCGGGUUGUAAAGCACUUUUGUCCGGAAAGAAAACUUCCGCCCUAAUACGGUGGGGGGAUGACGGUACCGGAAGAAUAAGCACCGGCUAACUACGUGCCAGCAGCCGCGGUAAUACGUAGGGUGCAAGCGUUAAUCGGAAUUACUGGGCGUAAAGCGUGCGCAGGCGGUUCGCUAAGACCGAUGUGAAAUCCCCGGGCUUAACCUGGGAACUGCAUUGGUGACUGGCGGGCUAGAGUAUGGCAGAGGGGGGUAGAAUUCCACGUAGCAGUGAAAUGCGUAGAGAUGUGGAGGAAUACCGAUGGCGAAGGCAGCCCCCUGGGCCAAUACUGACGCUCAUGCACGAAAGCGUGGGGAGCAAACAGGAUUAGAUACCCUAGUAGUCC